rnacentral:rRNA from 3 species
ACGGGUGAGUAACGCGUGGGAAUCUACCCAACUCUACGGAAUAACUCAGGGAAACUUGUGCUAAUACCGUAUACGCCCUUCGGGGGAAAGAUUUAUCGGAGUUGGAUGAGCCCGCGUUGGAUUAGCUAGUUGGUGGGGUAAAGGCCUACCAAGGCGACGAUCCAUAGCUGGUCUGAGAGGAUGAUCAGCCACAUUGGGACUGAGACACGGCCCAAACUCCUACGGGAGGCAGCAGUGGGGAAUAUUGGACAAUGGGCGCAAGCCUGAUCCAGCCAUGCCGCGUGUGUGAUGAAGGCCUUAGGGUUGUAAAGCACUUUCACCGGAGAAGAUAAUGACGGUAUCCGGAGAAGAAGCCCCGGCUAACUUCGUGCCAGCAGCCGCGGUAAUACGAAGGGGGCUAGCGUUGUUCGGAAUUACUGGGCGUAAAGCGCACGUAGGCGGAUCGAUCAGUCAGGGGUGAAAUCCCAGAGCUCAACUCUGGAACUGCCUUUGAUACUGUCGGUCUAGAGUAUGGAAGAGGUGAGUGGAAUUCCGAGUGUAGAGGUGAAAUUCGUAGA